CUUGCAGGGUUCCGGUUGGCACUCCGGGUAACAAAUGUCUAUUGGGACGUCGCGACGGUUGUCACUGGCUCAAGGGGAGUACCGGGUCGUGACAGUUCUAUAUGCUAUAGAAUGCCUUUUCGCUGCAUUUUCAAGAUUGAAGGUAGUUGGUUCCUAGGUCGAGGCGCUCCCUCCUAUUCAUCUUUCGAUAGGUUCACUACGACUCUCAAUGAUAGUAACCCCACCAGAGUCACUCCGCUAAUAGUCAACGUCUUUUGUAUAUGUGUAUGAUUGUUUAAGUGUAAUUCGUUAAAGUUAUUGUAAACAUUGUGUUUGGUUUGAAUAAUAGUGCCGCCACACAUCGACAAGUGAUAAUAUUAUUUUGUGAAUACUAUACGCUCGGUUGCCAUGA